GGAUGAUUUGAUGAGGAAAUGUUUCCCUAUUAGUUUGAUUGCCGAGAUGAUUUUGUCUACCUUGUUAUUAGCUAUGUCUGAUAUUCC